rnacentral:snRNA from 1 species
AGAUGGGAGGGUGAUCUGGCUACCACAUCAUCACCCCGUUGGUCGCCAGGAUUGAUUAGGCUGAUCUGACUGGCUAGGCAGUUACCCCUUCCUGCCUCACUGCUCCAUGAGUAUCCCUCCAGAAGCUGCUUACUUGCACAAGGGUAUAGGAACCAGCUGCAUUCUCCCCUGCUAGAACUUCUGAACAAGCUCUGAAGGAAUGCACUUCCUCCUUCCUGCACAUGUUUAUGGAGGGAUAGAAGCUCCAGUAA